rnacentral:rRNA from 1 species
GACGAACGCUGGCGGCGUGCUUAACACAUGCAAGUCAAACGGAAAGGCCCUGCUUUUGUGGGGUGCUCGAGUGGCGAACGGGUGAGUAACACGUGAGUAACCUGCCCUUGACUUUGGGAUAACUUCAGGAAACUGGGGCUAAUACCGGAUAGGAGCUCCUGCUGCAUGGUGGGGGUUGGAAAGUUUCGGCGGUUGGGGAUGGACUCGCGGCUUAUCAGCUUGUUGGUGGGGUAGUGGCAUACCAAGGCUUUGACGGGUAGCCGGCCUGAGAGGGUGACCGGCCACAUUGGGACUGAGAUACGGCCCAGACUCCUACGGGAGGCAGCAGUGGGGAAUAUUGCACAAUGGGCGGAAGCCUGAUGCAGCAACGCCGCGUGCGGGAUGACGGCCUUCGGGUUGUAAACCGCUUUCGCCUGUGACGAAGCGUGAGUGACGGUAAUGGGUAAAGAAGCACCGGCUAACUACGUG